GAAUUGGUUCCAAGAAGC
rnacentral:siRNA from 1 species